GGGUCUAUCUCACAGCCUGGACUCCCCAGCGCUCUGGCACAGGACUCCGGAGGGAAUAUCCGUCUUACGGCUACCUGAAGGACGUCAGCUGAACUGCAUUCAGAGGAGGUAAAACAUGCAACAUGAAGAGAUACUUUGGAAAAGCAGACAAAAUGAACCCUAGCAGAGAGCUGGGGGGUCCCAAAGUGUGUGGAGACUGGGGGGAAAUCAGAGGACGGAGAGGAGACUGAGGCAUGGCAAAGCAUGGAGUCUGGCAAGGCAACUGGGAAACGGCACGCAGGGAAAGGAUGUGUGGGACCUCAAUUCAGCCUCUUUGCACAUUAUUCUGAGUUCACUUAGGAACACUUGAGCUCACGUAGAAGGCCUUCCAACACCUUACUGACUGUACGUUAAAAAACCCUGGUUACGAAGACAGAAUCACACAUUUUCUCCUGAUGCCAUCAUGGUGAAUGUUAUAAAAAAAUCUCCAAAACUUCACAAAACAAAGUGCUUGUUGAACAUCCCCGAAAUGCAAGGAAGGGCAUUACCAUCAUAUUACAAACACAAAACCAGAGCCUGGAAGUAUUUCCUGAUUAUUCGAUCCAAGAAGUACAUUUGCUCUACCAGGAGACUGCUGUAUAGUUGUGUGUGGAAGUACUUUAUAUGUUCCUGUUGCCUUCUACGGCAGAUGCAAGUCCUAAAUUCUUCUGCAAACUAGCCUUAAUUUAAGUCAGGCAUCUAAUGAGUACGGGAUGCAAAACUCAUAACUGCGUGUGGAAGAAUUUGGCCUGAGCUGAGGAAGAAGGGAGAGGUGAGAACCUGCAGCCUGGCAGACGCUUAUCCAAUUAUUCUAUGGUAUCUUUUGAUAUCAAAGUUACUCCAAACUUUGAGGGUUUGGGAGCACUCCUUCCUUUCCAGGAUCUCAUAAAAUUUGGAGAGGGUUUUUCUUCUAAAGCUUCAAAUUUGUCCUACUGAAAAAAAAAAAAGAAAGAAAUGCAAAGUCUCUAUUUACUUCAGCUGAGCCUGGUCUGGCACCUGGAGAUGCUGCCUCUGCCAGCGGUGCUGCCAUUGCCCACCGCUUGCUCUGAGAUUCCCUGUUCAAACAGGCACUUUGUCAUCUCACCGUGACCGCAGCUCCACCAUUUGGUUGAGUUCCCAUUCCCAGCUUCUGCAGGGCUUGUUGAUGGGUAACCUAAGUUUUAUCACUGUGACCAGCAUUCUUGGUAAUGGUACGUGUCCCUGCUCACACCUUUGCUUUUAUACAUGUUGCGCUGCCAAGAAUAAUUGUUAGUUUUAAACCGGCUCCGAAAGCAGCAGCUGGCUUUCCAAAAGGACGCAGAGGAUGAGCUAGCGACAGCAGCCGCUUGGCAUUUCCAACCCUGUGGUGCAAAAGGCAAUGUGUUUUAAAUAUUGUGACUUCUUGAAUAUCUUGUUAUCUUGUCACAGAACAGGAAUACAAUUGACAGUAUCAGGAUAUGUACACACAAUCUCUUAUUGCUGUUUAAACUUAUAAAACAAUACCAUAUUCUGUGCUGGCAGGAGUACUAUUAGCUAUGCAAAAUUAUUUGUCAGCUCUUUGAAAUACCUUUCCUUUUCUGGACAAUAAAAACACCAUUUCUUCA